AAGUCGUAACAAGGUUUCCGUAGGUGAACCUGCGGAAGGAUCAUUAACAUCUUUUGAAUUGGUGGUGGUGGGUGUGAGUUUCAUUAUUGAGAUUUCCACUCAUCAUCCUCAACCCCAUUGUGUGCAUGUAUGUGUGAGUGUGAGUUGGUAGAGCCUAGCUCUACUUAUCUCUUCACUUCACCUCUCACUUUUAACCCCAAACCCCUUCUUCUCAUCACACUAGACUGACUUUCAAUCCUCGUUUUCGCUCCCUACCAACGGAGCAAAACAUCAAUCAGCAUACAACUCUUAGCAACGGAUAUCUAGGCUCUC
rnacentral:misc_RNA from 1 species